UACGGGGGGGGCAAGCGUUGUUCGGAAUUACUGGGCGUAAAGGGCUCGUAGGCGGCCAUCUAAGUCGGAUGUGAAAUCCCCAGGCUCAACUUGGGAACUGCAUCCGAUACUGGAUGGCUUGAAUUCGGGAGAGGGAUGCAGAAUUCCAGGUGUAGCGGUGAAAUGCGUAGAUAUCUGGAGGAAUACCGGUGGCGAAGGCGGCAUCCUGGACCGACAUUGACGCUGAGGAGCGAAAGCUAGGGGAGCAAACGGG
rnacentral:rRNA from 1 species